GAAAAUACUUGUCAUCAAAAUGGAUAAAAGAGGAUGUAUCUAGACGUAUUUUAGUUCUAGAUACAUCUCUUUUUAUCCAUUUUGAUAACAGGUAUUUUC
rnacentral:pre_miRNA from 1 species